AUUGGAUCAAACAGAACAUCACAGGGGACGCAGAAGCUGGACAGAUCCUGGGAAAGGAGAGUGAGCCUGCCUGUGUCCCUUUUGCUUUACAGUAAACAGUUCCCAGUUUCCAGUUUCACCUGCACUUUGAGGUCACACAGCCAUCUUCCUCCCCACCAACAUGUAUCAGAAUGAAGGGACAGAAGAAAAGAGACAGAGAUCCAGACUGAGGAUUGGUGGAGAGCCAGAAGCUCAGUUACCCGGACAAGAAAUGAAAAGCAGACUUCAUUGUUUCUUACUCUCUGGUGGGAGGAGAGGUGGAAAGAAGAAAUAAGGAAAGACCAAGGGUUGGAGAAGAAAAGAAAGCUGGAACAAUUUAAUUCAGAUAAAAUCUGAAAUGUCCAAGUAA